CGUCCUAUUAGCUAGUUGGUGAGGUAAUGGCUCACCAAGGCUACGAUGGGUAGGGGUUCUUAGUGGAAGGUCCCCCACACUGGCACUGAGAUACGGGCCAGACUCCUACGGGAGGCAGCAGUAGGGAAUAUUGGUCAAUGGGCGCAAGCCUGAACCAGCCAUACCGCGUGCAGGAUGAAGGCUCUCUGAGUUGUAAACUGCUUUUGUACAGGAGCAAAAAAAUCCCUGCGGGGGUUCUUGAGAGUACUGUAAGAAUAAGCACCGGCUAAUUCCGUGCCAGCAGCCGCGGUAAUACGGGAGGUGCAAGCGUUAUCCGGUUUUAUUGGGUUUAAAGGGUGCGUAGGCGGCUUAUUAAGUCAGUUGUGAAAUCCUAGUGCUUAACGCUAGAACUGCGAUUGAUACUAUU
rnacentral:rRNA from 1 species